CUCAGAUUGAACGCUGGCGGCAUGCCUUACACAUGCAAGUCGAACGGCAGCACGGGCUUCGGCCUGGUGGCGAGUGGCGAACGGGUGAGUAAUACAUCGGAACGUGCCCUGUAGUGGGGGAUAACUAGUCGAAAGAUUAGCUAAUACCGCAUACGACCUGAGGGUGAAAGCGGGGGACCGCAAGGCCUCGCGCUACAGGAGCGGCCGAUGUCUGAUUAGCUAGUUGGUGGGGUAAAAGCCUACCAAGGCGACGAUCAGUAGCUGGUCUGAGAGGACGAUCAGCCACACUGGGACUGAGACACGGCCCAGACUCCUACGGGAGGCAGCAGUGGGGAAUUUUGGACAAUGGGGGCAACCCUGAUCCAGCAAUGCCGCGUGUGUGAAGAAGGCCUUCGGGUUGUAAAGCACUUUUGUCCGGAAAGAAAUGGCCUGGGUGAAUACCCCGGGUCGAUGACGUACCGAAG
rnacentral:rRNA from 1 species